rnacentral:tRNA from 1 species
GGACCCGUGGCGCAACGGUAGCGCAUCUGAUUCCAGUAAAUGGAAUGACACGAGUCUCCAGAAGGUUAUCCGUUCAAGUCGGGUCGGGUUCA